GACAGAGGGUGCAAACGUUGCUCGGAUUUACUGGGCGUAAAGCGCGUGUAGGCGGAUGGGUAAGUCAGAUGUGAAAUCCCUGGGCUCAACCUAGGAACUGCACCUGAAACUGCCCAUCUGGAGUAGUGGAGAGGAGAGCGGAAUUCCUGGUGUAGAGGUGAAAUUCGUAGAUAUCUGGAGGAACACCGGUGGCGAAGGCGGCAUCCUGGACCGGCAUUGACGCUGAGGCGCGAAAGCGUGGGGAGCGAACAGG
rnacentral:rRNA from 1 species